GACACUGGGGCCACUUGCCAUGUCUGCUCCAACAGGAGCAUGUUCACUACUUUUGCACCAGUUACAAAUGGUGAAAAGUUGUUCAUGGGAAACUCUGCAACUUCUGAAGUGCUUGGUAAAGGCAAGGUGAUCCUGAAGAUGACAUCUGGCAAAGAGCUUACUCUGACUAAUGUGCUGUACGUGCCAGAGAUUCGCAAGAAUCUGGUCUCUGGGUCUCUUCUGAGCAAGAAUGGGUUCCGCAUGGUCUUUGAGGCGGAUAAGCUGGUGAUUACCAAAAUAGGAGUUUAUGUUGGGAAAGGCUAUAUAACUGAUGGCCUG
rnacentral:lncRNA from 1 species